GGAGUUUGGACCGUCUCUCAGUUCCAAUGUGGCCGAUCACCCUCUCAGGUCGGCUACCGAUCGUCGACUUGGUGGGCCGUUACCUCACCAACUAUCUAAUCGGACGCGAACUCACCCCAAACCGGAUUGCUCCUUUUACCUCUGUAGGAUGUCCUACUGUGGUCUUAUGCGGUAUUAGCACCUGUUUCCAAGUGUUAUCCCCCUGUCUGGGACAGAUUGUUCACGCGUUACUCACCCGUCCGCCACUCGAAUGUUGGUGAAUCCUGCCGAAGCUCUCAUCUCCAACAUCCUCGUUCGACUUGCAUGUGUUAAGCACGCCGCCAGCGUUCAUC
rnacentral:rRNA from 1 species